CCUACGGGGGGCUGCAGUCGAGGAUCAUUCGCAAUGGGGGAAACCCUGACGAUGCGACGCUGCGUGGAGGAUGAAGGCCCUCGGGUUGUAAACUCCUGUCAUGAGGGGAGAGGCGGAGGCGGCGAACAGCCGCCCGAGUUGACGGUACCUCAAGAGGAAGCCACGGCUAACUCUGUGCCAGCAGCCGCGGUAAUACAGAGGUGGCGAGCGUUGUUCGGAUUUACUGGGCGUAAAGGGCGCGUAGGCGGCGCGGUGUGUCGGGUGUGAAAUCCAUG
rnacentral:rRNA from 1 species